GGAGUUAGCCGGGGCUUAUUCUCCCGGUACAGUCAUUAUCUUCCCGGGUAAAAGAGCUUUACAACCCUAAGGCCUUCAUCACUCACGCGGCAUUGCUGGAUCAGGCUUUCGCCCAUUGUCCAAUAUUCCCCACUGCUGCCUCCCGUAGGAGUCUGGACCGUGUCUCAGUUCCAGUGUGGCCGAUCAGCCUCUCAGCUCGGCUACCCAUCGUUGGCUAGGUGGGCCGUUACCCCGCCUACUACCUAAUGGGACGCGAACCCCUCCUUUAGCGGAUUUCUCCUUUGACCUCUGUGUCAUGCGGCACUGUGGUCUUAUGCGGUAUUAGCAACGAUUUCUCGUUGUUAUCCCCCUCUUUAGGUCAGAUUGUUCACGCGUUACUCACCCGUCCGCCACUUAGAUAUCCAACCGAAAUCAAAUAUCUCCGUUCGACUUGCAUGUGUUAGGCACGCCGCCAGCGUUCGUCCUAAGCCAGAAUCGAACCCUGA
rnacentral:rRNA from 1 species